GGGGCUGUAGCUCAGUUGGGAGAGCGCAUGAAUGGCAUUCAUGAGGCCGUCGGUUCGAUCCCGUCCAGCUCCACCA
rnacentral:tRNA from 1 species